UACGUAGGGUGCAAGCGUUAAUCGGAAUUACUGGGCGUAAAGCGUGCGCAGGCGGUUAUGUAAGACAGAUGUGAAAUGCCCGGGCUUAACCUGGGAACUGCAUUUGUGACUGCAUGGCUAGAGUUUGGCAGAGGGGGGGUAGAAUUCCACGUGUAGCAGUGAAAUGCGUAGAGAUGUGGAGGAAUACCGAUGGCGAAGGCAGCCCC
rnacentral:rRNA from 1 species